rnacentral:rRNA from 1 species
AUUGAACGCUGGCGGCAGGCCUAACACAUGCAAGUCGAGCGGAUGAAGGGAGCUUGCUCCUGGAUUCAGCGGCGGACGGGUGAGUAAUGCCUAGGAAUCUGCCUGGUAGUGGGGGAUAACGUCCGGAAACGGGCGCUAAUACCGCAUACGUCCUGAGGGAGAAAGUGGGGGAUCUUCGGACCUCACGCUAUCAGAUGAGCCUAGGUCGGAUUAGCUAGUUGGUGGGGUAAAGGCCUACCAAGGCGACGAUCCGUAACUGGUCUGAGAGGAUGAUCAGUCACACUGGAACUGAGACACGGUCCAGACUCCUACGGGAGGCAGCAGUGGGGAAUAUUGGACAAUGGGCGAAAGCCUGAUCCAGCCAUGCCGCGUGUGUGAAGAAGGUCUUCGGAUUGUAAAGCACUUUAAGUUGGGAGGAAGGGCAGUAAGUUAAUACCUUGCUGUUUUGACGUUACCAACAGAAUAAGCAUCGGCUAACUUCGU